AGGCCACCGGUCGGGCCUAAUUUAGAUGGAGGGAAGGACGUGAAGGAUCUCGGAGCCGCUGUGAUCGUUUCCUUUGCUUCGGCCACCGUAACCAAGCAGCACAACCCAGGGGCGUGGCAGGAGUGUACCCUCAAGGUCUUGGAGGCUGCAGGAACGACCUGGACGCAGGAGGUUGUAGAUCUGAUACAGAACGGUGGAGACCUUGAGCAGAGCGGAUUGGUCCCCAUCCACCUGCGACAGCCUUUCCUGGAAUGGAUACGGAUACCGGACUGCUCUGGAAUCGACCAGGCAAAUGCAAUACCUUCCCCAAGGACUCUGAAAAGUCACCUUCCUGCGCAACUGCUGCUGCCAUCCUUCUGGGAGAAAACCUGCAAGUACGCGGGCCUCUCACUGUUGUGGGC